GUCGCAGGGCCGUACGAAACCCGAAGGCGAAACGAAAGUGAAGGCCGUUCCCGAGAACGGCUCGGGCGGGAUCCGCGGAGGAGAGAUCCGCCGCGGCGCACCGCCGGCCCGUCUCGGCCGCAACGUCGGCGAGGCGGAGCAGGAGCGCGCGCGUUGGGACCCGAAAGAUGGUGAACUAUGCCCGAGCAGGACGAAGCCAGAGGAAACUCUGGUGGAGGUCCGCAGCGAUUCUGACGUGCAAAUCGAUCGUCGAACUUGGGUAUAGGGGCGAAAGACUAAUCGAACCGUCUAGUAGCUGUUCCUUCCGA
rnacentral:rRNA from 2 species